UCUCAUUAAAUGUGUAUAGAGGUAUUAGGAAGAAAAAUAAAGCUUGGAAGGGAGCAUCAGAGAUCGUUGGUGUCUCUGGUGAGCGUACGUAGCGAGUACCGUUAGCUUGCUUAACUAAGCCAGUAACAAAUCUAAUCCUAAGCUGAGCUCGUAACAUGCAAUUCCAUUCAUACAUCCAUACAUUCAUUUUUCAUUCCAAUUAUCCUACACAGGGCUGCAGGGAGCCUGGAGCUUAUCCCAGGGAACUCAGGGCACACGGUGGCAGACACCCUGGACGCCAUCGCAGGGCAAAACCUAUUCACCUAUUCACCUAUUCGUACACACCUAUUCACUCACUGCAGACGAUUUGGAAAUGCCGAUCAUCCAGAGUGACUGUGGGAUUCAAACGCUCAACCCUGGAGAUAACUUUGGUGUGUAUGUUGUAUGUGUGCAAGAGUGUAACGUUAAAGAAAGGAAGUGGUUUCAGAACUCCAUCUGCACCCUGCCUGCCUGUCAUCUGGGAAUACUUGCCUGGAAAUGGGAGCGGAGGAGGGAGAGGAGACAGGCUGGUCAUUAGCGGCUUAGCGGAGGUGUAGCACCAUGACAUGAGAGACAUGGAAAUGUGCCAAGAAGAAAGUGACAACACUGACAUGAGGGACAGGGACUCCAUCUGCCAAUGAGGAAUGCAAGGAAAACAUGAAGCAAGUUGUUUACAGGAGGAAAAAAAAGUUGCAUUUUAUUGCAAGUAGCCAAGCAUAUGUGUGGCAGCUUGGGGAAAUCUUUCACAUGGGUUGUGAGCCUGGAGCCUAUCCCAGAGAAAUUGGGGCACAAGGUGGAGGACACCCUGGAUGUGGUGCCAACCCAUCACAAGGCACAACUGCAUACACAGUCACACACUACAGACAAUUUGGAAACGCCAAUCAGCCUACAAGGCAUGUCUUUAGACUAGGGGAGGAAACUGGAGUACUGGGAGAAAAUCCCUGAAGCACAGGGAGAACAUGCAAAAACUCCACACACACACAGGGCGGAGGCGUUAUUCGAACCCCAACCCCGGAAGUGCGAGAAAAAUAGAGAGACAAAGGAAUGCCUUGGGGAGCCAGAGCAGGGGGGGGAGACAUCUGCAAUUCCCAGCGCAGAGUCGGUAUUGUUUCCCCGAAUCGGCAAGCGUUCCACAAAUUGACUUUGAAUGAAUUUAUUUUUAAUGUGAUGGUGAUGCCUCUUUGCCAGGGAGUGUGAAAAUGUGUGUCAUGUGUGUAUAUGGGGAAAAAAAUAUGUUUGAAGAAUUCUUUCGUUUUUUUUUUGUGUGUGUGUGUCAAUAAGGGCACAUAUAAAUAUUUGGUAUAUAUUGUCAAAUGUGUAUAGUGUGUAAAAGAGUGUGUGCUUUUGCGUUUGUUUAGUGGACUUCUGAUGAACUUUUUAGUGCCACAAUGACGCCUCUGUCGGUGGCCCAGUGUUUCCACUCAUUACAAAACAGCUCUCUCAUCACAACAUCCUGCUCUGAUUGUAUUCAUUAAUAAAUUAAAUAGCGGCCCAUUUCUGUUCCAACCUAAAUGAGUCCCACUGCAGUUCCUAACUAGGACACAGUCGAAUCAGACAAAUGGAAUGAUAUACACGAGCAGGUCUUUAGUCUUGUCUCUAAUUCGCAGAAUGCACGAACACACAACCUGUUGUUUCAACAUGUCCUCAAAAGAUAGUUACUUUUUCACAGGAAUAAAUGUAGCUGUAGACACCACAUGGUGCG
ensembl:lncRNA